rnacentral:rRNA from 1 species
CCUACGGGUGGCAGCAGUCGAGAAUCAUUCACAAUGGGGGAAACCCUGAUGGUGCGACGCCGCGUGGGGGAAUGAAGGUCUUCGGAUUGUAAACCCUUGUCAUGUGGGAGCAAAUUAAAAAGAUAGUACAACAAGAGGAAGCGACGGCUGACCCUGUGCCAGCAGCAGUGGUAAUACAGAGGUCUCUAGCGUUGUUCGGAAGCACUGGGCGUAAAGCGUGCGUAGGCGGUUUCGGAAGUCGGAUGUGAAAGGCGAGGGCUCAACCCGCGGACGGCACAUGAUACUGCGAGACUAGAGUAAUGGAGGGGGAACCGGAAUUCUCGGUGUAGGAGUGAAAUGCGUAGAUAUCGAGAGGAAUACUCGUGGCGAAGGCGGGUUCCUGGACAUUAACUGACGCUGAGGCACGAAGGCCAGGGGAGCGAAAGGGAUUAGAUACCCUAGUAGUC